CCGCGGCAAGACGGAAAGACCCCGUGAACCUUUACUAUAGCUUGACACUGAACAUUGAGCCUUGAUGUGUAGGAUAGGUGGGAGGCUUUGAAGUGUGGACGCCAGUCUGCAUGGAGCCGACCUUGAAUACCACCCUUUAAUGUUUGAUGUUCUAACGUUGACCCGUAAUCCGGGUUGCGGACAGUGUCUGGUGGGUAGUUUGACUGGGGCGGUCUCCUCCUAAAGAGUAACGGAGGAGCACGAAGGUUGGCU
rnacentral:rRNA from 1 species